rnacentral:rRNA from 1 species
GUGCCAGCAGCCGCGGUAAUACGUAGGUGGCAAGCGUUGUCCGGAAUUAUUGGGCGUAAAGCGCGCGCAGGUGGUUUCUUAAGUCUGAUGUGAAAGCCCACGGCUCAACCGUGGAGGGUCAUUGGAAACUGGGGAACUUGAGUGCAGAAGAGGAAAGUGGAAUUCCAAGUGUAGCGGUGAAAUGCGUAGAGAUUUGGAGGAACACCAGUGGCGAAGGCGACUUUCUGGUCUGUAACUGACACUGAGGCGCGAAAGCGUGGGGAGCGAACAGGAUUAGAUACCCUGGUAGUCC